UUUUGACGGUUUAUAACUGCGUAAAAGCAAAGAGAAAAAAAAACUUCAGAAAGAAUAAUAUUUACAAUGUAGAGGCUCUAUAGCGGUUAUUUAUAUUACAGCAGAUUGUGUUUUAACAUUUUUAAGAUGUUUGGAGAUAGUAUUUUAGAGAACGUUAGACGUCAUCGAUGGCUUCUUGCAUUUUUGCGGAACUUUGGAUAAUUUUUGUGGCCCGCUUGGCAGGUAUGAAUAUAUUGCUCAUUGAUUAUUUACCUAUUAGUAAGUAAAAACAUUUAUAUAAUAAAAUGUGAUUCACACAGUUUUAAGCAUUAAUUUAAAUGCAGGAAACAGUCUUUUAUCAUAUAUAAGCAGGAUAACGACAAGUACUUAAUUAUACCGUUGCUAGGAGCUUUUAGAGGGGAUGCAUGUCUUUAACACAUAUACGAAAUGGUGCAUUUCAGAAAGUAUGUAUAUGCACUUAUUGCGAAUCCUUUUAUAUUGAGAUAAGAACAUAUAUUAAGCAUUUUUGCUCUGAAAUAAAAAAAAAACAAAACAAUGUCUAAAACAAAUGUAUGACGGUUUCAAAGACAUGAACAGUAAUACGAAUAAGGUAGGUUAUUACCUAACAUGAUAUCAAAACGUCUAUGUUUUCAACAAUCAUUUAUAUCAAAAGUACAUAAACUGCAAAUAAUAAAUUCUUACAUUAUCUUCAUUAAAUAACUUCUCUACAACCCAAACGAACCUGUUGUUGCCAAACUUUCAUUUUUAUUGUACAACUAAACUCCUGCGAAAUUAUUGCAAAGACGACAAACGCCUGUACCUCUGAUUGUCAUGUGACACAUGUACUCUAAUGUUAUAUAUAUAACUGCAACAAUUUGUGUUGAAACUUUUAACUGUCAGUAAAAUAGACUAGCAUUAGAUUUUUUUCAGAAUGUAUAUCAAUGAUGUUUUUACGUCAGUGUGUAAUGAAUGUCAUAAAUAUCAAUUUUUGUUCAAGAAACUAUUACUGUAACAAAUAUAUCCAAAUAUAAUAUUUAUGCCUUUAGUUUAUACUAAUUUGUUUUAGCUCGACUGUGAUGAAAGCUUCAAACUUAUUGGAACAACUCUCGAGUCCGCUACCUGGAAAAGCCAGUACUGGUGUAAAAGUCAUGGUCGUGACCCCAGUGGGCUAUAACCCACGACCCCUGAAUUAAGCGGCCGACAUCUUAUCUACUAGACCAUUGCUCUCCUUUUAUGCCUUCACUUGUAGAUGGUCAGUGUUAAAGUUUAACAAGAGGGUCAUGAUGACCUUAUAUCGCUCACUUGUUAAAUAUGGCAUUGGAAUCAUCAAAAUAAGCAUUCUUACCAAGUUUGACGAAAUUAGGGUCAUAAAUAAGGCCACUAUCGUGUUAACAAGCUUUUCUUUUAAUUUAAUUUGAGUAGAUGACUUAAAUUUUGACCCUAUAUGACCCAGUUUAAAUCUUGCCCUAGGAAUCAUCAAGAUAUUAAACAAUUUGACCAAAUUUCAUGAAGAAUGAGUCAUCAAUGUGGCCUCAAAAGUGUUAAAAAGCUUUUCCUUCGAUUUGACCGGGUGAUCUAGUUUUUUGAUCCCAUAUGACCCAGUUUUAAAUUUGGCAUAGGAAUUAUCAAGAAAAACAUCCAAGUUUCAUGAAGAUAGGACCAUGAAAAUCGCCUCUAGGGUGUUGACAAACUCUUCCUUUGAUUUGACCUGGUGACCUAGAUUUUGACCCCACAUGAACCAGUUUCUCCCUUUGCCUAUAGAUUAUCAAGAUAAAUAUCAAGAUAUUAUUAUUAUCAAGAUAAAUAUUCUGGGCAAGUUUGUGUCAGAUCAAAGCAUAAAUGAAACCCCUAUAUGGCUGUAAGGAGCAAAAUAGAAAAUGUUGGACAGUAACUCUAGAACCCAUGACGGAAUCUGACCGGUUUUCAAAAGGAACCAAGAUUUUAUUGUGACUGAAGUUGUGUGUAAGUGUGGUUAAAAUCAAAUGAAAAAUGUUACUUCUAACGUGUUCAUAAGGUAAAAACUAACACAUAUUGGCUUUUUCAGUGGUCAUUCAGGGACCUUAACUCCGGAACCUCUGAUUGGAUCUGGCAAAAUUUUUAUGGAUGCAAUUCAAGAUCAGUAUCUUUUUUUGUUAAAGAUAUUUUGCACGUUUGGAUCAAACCAUGAAUGAAGUCUCUAUUAUGGAUGCAAAAGCCAGAAUAGUAAAUUUUGACCCUUUAAGGGGCUAUAACUCUGGAAGCCAUAAUGCGAUCUGGCCAGUUUUCCAAAAGAACCGAGAUAUUAUGCUAAUAAAAGUUGUGUUCAAGUUUGAUAAAAAAUUGGUUGCACAAUUUGGUCUCUAUCGUGUUCACAAGCCAAAGUAGCAAAUUUUGGCCCUUUAAGCAGCCCUAACUCUUGAAACUAAGAUGGGAUCUGACCAGUUUUCGCAAAGAACCGAGAUAUUAUGCCAAUACAGGUUGCGUGCAAGUUUGAUUUGAAUUGAUUUUAAAAUGGGGUCUCUCUGUUCACAAGAAAUUGUGGACGGAUGACGAAUGGACGCACGACGGAUGAUGGACAAAGGAUUAUCACAAAAGUUCUACGUGACAGGUGAGGUAAUAACUGUCCGUCUGUAUUUGUAAGGUAUGAGAGCGCUCGAUUCUAUAUUACUUUUAUUCAGUAUUCGACCAGGCGGUCCAUUUUAACAUUAUGAGUCAUUUACUAAGCUCUUAAACGUUAACCGAAUAAAGAUAUAUAGAUCUUGUCUAUUAUCACUUUUGACUGAAAUUUAUCUUGAUUAAUUGUUUCAAAUGUUCCUUUGCAGAAACUGCGUACUAUGUCACUGUACAUUAGGCCGUCAAAAGUUUACGUUGUACAUCACAAUCUAAAUAACAAGUACGAGGUAUUAGUAAAGAAGUACGCAAGCUGCUUCAAGUGGAGAUUCGUACCAAUACAUAUUGUUGACAAGGAGAAAAUCAAGGAAGAUUGGCCAGUUAUUGUUGUACGUUCACAGAAAAGCAGAACUAAAACAGAUAUGGAAGAAGCUCUCCAUGGAUUAAAUGAGGAAAAGCGUAAAAGAACGAUAUACAUGUUAUGCCGCCGAAGCAGUGAUGGAUCAGACAGCACGUUAUUGUUUAUGGAAAGGGUCGCAAAUCCGGAACUUCUCGGACAACUUGUUGUUCCUACACCAAAACAUGGGGUAGACAAAUGUGGUUUAAAGGAAUUACAGGACAUGUUAAAAUCAUUUUACACACCUAAACGAAUUGGGAAAUAGAUUUUUGUAGUUAUGGAAACGCUAACAGAUUUUAUUGACAUGGAAAUUAUUGAAUAUGUUUAUGUAGUUUGUAUUUAUCUUUCGUUCUGCAGCGUUUUGUUUCUAGUGAAAACAUGGAUUUAUAAAUAUAACUUUAUAUUCAGAUAUAUUAUACAAUUAUUGCCUUUAAAAGAGAUGGAUGUGAGGAUUUCAAAAGGUGGAAACUUACAUGUCGCCCAACAUGACCAAAUGAAAAAUUGUAUGAUUUAGAUUUUUAUAUACGAUAUUAGACCCUGUCCAUUAGCCCCGGUUUCAUAAAUCCUCAUAUAACUUUUAAUGGCAACAAUGUCCAAAAACUCAAAGCUUAAUUGAGAAAAUCCAAACAUUUGCAGCGGUUUGUUCUUUUUCCCAGUCUUUUGGUCUUAAUUCUGUACCAGACCACCUUGAUACGACGUCAAAAUAUUAGGAAGUCACUGUUGUAUACGUGAAUUCGGCCCCACCUACGAGUCAGUAUAACUUUAUUUCAGGUGACCGUGUUAAAACCAGUUGAAACUAGAGUUGAUACAGGAGUGACGAAUUUUACCCUUACAAUAUGGCCUUGUCACAGAACUAAGCCAAUGUCAAAACUGAACUUACUUGACCUUUGACCUACUGACCUCAAAAUCAAUUGAGGUAAUCUGCUGGUCAUGACCAACCUCUCUAUUAAGUUUCGUGAUCCUAGUCCAAAGCAUUCUGAAGUUAUUGUCCGAAAACAGUUUAAAUGUUCCGGGUCACUGUGACCUUGACCUCUGACCUACUGACCUCAAAAUAAUUACAGGUCAUCUGCUGGUCCUAACCAACCUCCUAUCAAUUUUUAUGAUCAUAGGCCCAAGCAUUCUCAAGCUAUCAUCCGGAAACCGUUUAACUGUUUCGUAUCAUUGUGACCUUGACCUUUGACCUACUAGCCUCAAAGUCGAACGUGAUCUGUAUUCAAUCAUGUUAGUCUGUGUACAAAAAUUUAUGAUCCUAGACCCAAGCCUUCUCAAGUUAUCAUCCCGAAACCGUUUAAAUGUUCGGAGUCACUGUGACCUUGACCUUUUACCUACUGACCUCAAAGUAGAACUUGACCUGUAUUUCAUAAUGUUACACCUGUGUACUAAAAUUAUGAUCCAAGCGUUCUCAAGUUUUUAUCCAGAAACUAUUUAAAUGUUCCGAGUCAUUGUGACCUUAUCUUUUGACUUACAGACCUCAAGGUCGAACUUGACCUGUAUUUUAUGAUGUUACACCUGUGUACCAAAAAUUAUUUAAAUCGGUCAAGCCUUUCAAGAGAUAUCAUCCGGAAACCGUUUUACUGUUCAGGGUCACUGUGGCCUUGACCUUUGACCUACUAACCACAAAUUCGAACUUGACCUGUAUUUUCUGAUGUUGCACCUGUGUACCAAAACUUAUUUAAAUCAGUCAAGCCUUUCAAGAGUUAUCAUCCAGAAACUAUGAAAACCAACGGACCGACCAACCGACCGACCGACCUACCGGCAAGCUCACUCCUAUAUACCCCCACCCCACAAACUUCGUUUUGCGGGGGGGGGGGGUAUAAUGACUAUUAAUAAAAAAUUCAUAAUAAUAGUUAUACAAGACAUUUUAAAAUUGACAUCUUGAUGUCACUACAUAAGCAAGUGCCUUCUUUACAGUGAGCUUCUUUUAAUAUAAUAGCGAAAUGUGUUGACAGCUGGAAGAUUUCUUAUUAUACUUAUCACUUAUCAGAAUUAAAAUCCUAAUUAAAUGACUGA